rnacentral:rRNA from 1 species
UACGAAGGGGGCUAGCGUUGCUCGGAAUCACUGGGCGUAAAGCGUGCGCAGGCGGUUCGUUGUGUCGGCGGUGAAAGCCCCGGGCUCAACCUGGGAAUGGCCGUUGAAACUGGCGAACUGGAGUGUGGCAGAGGGGGGUGGAAUUCCGCGUGUAGCAGUGAAAUGCGUAGAGAUGCGGAGGAACACCGAUGGCGAAGGCAGCCCCCUGGGCUAACACUGACGCUCAGGCACGAAAGCGUGGGGAGCAAACAGG